rnacentral:rRNA from 1 species
AGCGUACACGGUGGAUGCCCUGGCAGUCAGAGGCGAUGAAGGACGUGCUAAUCUGCGAAAAGCGCCGGCGAGGUGAUAUGAACCUUUGACCCGGCGAUGUCCGAAUGGGGAAACCCAGUGCAAUCCGUUGCACUAUCGUUAACUGAAUACAUAGGUUAACGAGGCGAACCGGGGGAACUGAAACAUCUAAGUACCCCGAGGAAAAGAAAUCAACCGAGAUUCCCCCAGUAGCGGCGAGCGAACGGGGAGCAGCCCGGAGUCUGAAUCAGCUUGUGUGUUAGUGGAACGGUCUGGAAAGUCCGACGGUACAGGGUGAUAGUCCCGUACACGAAAGCACACUUGCUGUGAACUCGAAGAGUAGGGCGGGACACGUGGUAUCCUGUCUGAAUAUGGGGGGACCAUCCUCCAAGGCUAAAUACUCCUGACUGACCGAUAGUGAACCAGUACCGUGAGGGAAAGGCGAAAAGAACCCCGGCGAGGGGAGUGAAAAAGAACCUGAAACCGUGUACGUACAAGCAGUGGGAGCCUCUUUAUGGGGUGACUGCGUACCUUUUGUAUAAUGGGUCAGCGACUUAUAUUCUGUAGCAAGGUUAACCGUAUAGGGGAGCCGAAGGGAAACCGAGUCUUAACUGGGCGUUAAGUUGCAGGGUAUAGACCCGAAACCCGGUGAUCUAGCCAUGGGCAGGUUGAAGGUUGGGUAACACUAACUGGAGGACCGAACCGACUAAUGUUGAAAAAUUAGCGGAUGACCUGUGGCUGGGGGUGAAAGGCCAAUCAAACCGGGAGAUAGCUGGUUCUCCCCGAAAGCUAUUUAGGUAGCGCCUCGUGAACUCAUCUUCGGGGGUAGAGCACUGUUUCGGCUAGGGGGCCAUCCCGGCUUACCAACCCGAUGCAAACUACGAAUACCGAAGAAUGUUAUCACGGGAGACACACGGCGGGUGCUAACGUCCGUCGUGAAGAGGGAAACAACCCAGACCGCCAGCUAAGGUCCCAAAGUCAUGGUUAAGUGGGAAACGAUGUGGGAAGGCACAGACAGCCAGGAUGUUGGCUUAGAAGCAGCCAUCAUUUAAAGAAAGCGUAAUAGCUCACUGGUCGAGUCGGCCUGCGCGGAAGAUGUAACGGGGCUAAACCAUGCACCGAAGCUGCGGCAGCGACGCUUAUGCGUUGUUGGGUAGGGGAGCGUUCUGUAAGCCGUUGAAGGUGUGCUGUGAGGCAUGCUGGAGGUAUCAGAAGUGCGAAUGCUGACAUAAGUAACGAUAAAGCGGGUGAAAAGCCCGCUCGCCGGAAGACCAAGGGUUCCUGUCCAACGUUAAUCGGGGCAGGGUGAGUCGACCCCUAAGGCGAGGCCGAAAGGCGUAGUCGAUGGGAAACAGGUUAAUAUUCCUGUACUUGGUGUUACUGCGAAGGGGGGACGGAGAAGGCUAUGUCAGCCGGGCGACGGUUGUCCCGGUUUAAGCAUGUAGGCGGAGGUUCCAGGUAAAUCCGGUACCUUAUUAACGCUGAGGUGUGAUGACGAGGCACUACGGUGCUGAAGUGAUAAAUGCCCUGCUUCCAGGAAAAGCCUCUAAGCAUCAGGUAACACGAAAUCGUACCCCAAACCGACACAGGUGGUCAGGUAGAGAAUACCAAGGCGCUUGAGAGAACUCGGGUGAAGGAACUAGGCAAAAUGGUGCCGUAACUUCGGGAGAAGGCACGCUGAUAUGUAGGUGAAGUCCCUGCGGACGGAGCUGAAAUCAGUCGAAGAUACCAGCUGGCUGCAACUGUUUAUUAAAAACACAGCACUGUGCAAACACGAAAGUGGACGUAUACGGUGUGACGCCUGCCCGGUGCCGGAAGGUUAAUUGAUGGGGUUAGCGGCAACGCGAAGCUCUUGAUCGAAGCCCCGGUAAACGGCGGCCGUAACUAUAACGGUCCUAAGGUAGCGAAAUUCCUUGUCGGGUAAGUUCCGACCUGCACGAAUGGCGUAAUGAUGGCCAGGCUGUCUCCACCCGAGACUCAGUGAAAUUGAACUCGCUGUGAAGAUGCAGUGUACCCGCGGCAAGACGGAAAGACCCCGUGAACCUUUACUAUAGCUUGACACUGAACACUGGUCCUUGAUGUGUAGGAUAGGUGGGAGGCUUUGAAGCGUGGACGCCAGUCUGCGUGGAGCCAACCUUGAAAUACCACCCUUUAAUGGCUGGUGUUCUAACGUAGACCCGUAAUCCGGGUUGCGGACAGUGUCUGGUGGGUAGUUUGACUGGGGCGGUCUCCUCCCAAAGAGUAACGGAGGAGCACGAAGGUUGGCUAAUCCUGGUCGGACAUCAGGAGGUUAGUGCAAUGGCAUAAGCCAGCUUGACUGCGAGCGUGACGGCGCGAGCAGGUGCGAAAGCAGGUCAUAGUGAUCCGGUGGUUCUGAAUGGAAGGGCCAUCGCUCAACGGAUAAAAGGUACUCCGGGGAUAACAGGCUGAUACCGCCCAAGAGUUCAUAUCGACGGCGGUGUUUGGCACCUCGAUGUCGGCUCAUCACAUCCUGGGGCUGAAGUAGGUCCCAAGGGUAUGGCUGUUCGCCAUUUAAAGUGGUACGCGAGCUGGGUUUAGAACGUCGUGAGACAGUUCGGUCCCUAUCUGCCGUGGGCGCUGGAGAAUUGAGGGGGGCUGCUCCUAGUACGAGAGGACCGGAGUGGACGCAUCACUGGUGUUCGGGUUGUCAUGCCAAUGGCACUGCCCGGUAGCUAAAUGCGGAAGAGAUAAGUGCUGAAAGCAUCUAAGCACGAAACUUGCCCCGAGAUGAGUUCU